rnacentral:rRNA from 1 species
GACGAACGCUGGCGGCGUGCCUAACACAUGCAAGUCGAACGGAGUUGCUCCUUCGGGAGUAACUUAGUGGCGAACGGGUAAGUAACGCGUGAGAAACCUGCCUUUCAGUGGGGGACAACAGUUGGAAACGACUGCUAAUACCGUAUAAUGCAAUUGGGACGCAUGUUCUGAUUGCCAAAGAUUUAUUGCUGUAAGAUGGGCUCGCGUCUGAUUAGGUAGUUGGCGGGGGAACGGCCCACCAAGCCUACGAUCAGUAGCCGGACUGAGAGGUUGAUCGGCCACAUUGGGACUGAGACACGGCCCAGACUCCUACGGGAGGCAGCAGUGGGGAAUAUUGGGCAAUGGGGGAAACCCUGACCCAGCAACGCCGCGUGAAGGAAGAAGGCCUUCGGGUUGUAAACUUCUUUUAGUAGGGACGAAGAACGUGACGGUACCUACAGAAAAGCAACGGCUAACUACGUG